GCCUGCAUGGUGUAAUGGUUAACACACCUUCUUCGAAUGACUCCCUCCCAUCAGUUCACUUCUCCGAAGGAGCUCCUGGUUUGACUCCAGGUGCGGGCU